AGGGUGAUCCAAAUGACAUUGUGCGCAACGAUGACGAUACUGAAGAUGAUAGUGAUGCUGCUGAACCUAUCGAACAUAGUGAUAUAGGAGAACUAUUGGAUGAUUUAUAUCAGGAUAUUUGUUCAAAUAUACGUAUUAGUACUAGUGCAUCUGAAGAUAAUUCUGAUCAUGAACACAAUAUCCAUCUUGAGGUAGAAGGAAUUUCUGAACAGUUUACAAAGCUUAUAAGGGAU
rnacentral:lncRNA from 1 species